GUUUUAAACCCUAAACUGAACUCUUUCCUUUAGUCAGCAUUAGGGUUUUAAACCCUAAACUGAACUCUUUCCUUUAGUCAGCAUUAGGGUUUUAAACCCUAAACUGAACUUUUUCCUUUCAGUCAGCAUUAGGGUUUUAAACCCUAAGCUGAACUUUUUCCCUUUAGUCAGCAUUUGGGUUUUAAACCCUAAACUGAACUUUUUCCAUUCAGCCAGCAUUAGGGUUUUAAACCCUAAACUGAGCUUUUCCAUGCAGUCAGCAUUAGGGUUUUAAACCCUAAACUGAACUUUUUCCUUUCAGUCAGCAUUAGGGUUUUAAACCCUAAACUGAUCUUUUUCCUUUAGUCAGCAUUAGGGUUUUAAACCCUAAACUGAACUUUUUCCUUUCAGUCAGCAUUAGGGUUUUAAACCCUAAACUGAGCUUUUCCAUGCAGUCAGCAUUAGGGUUUUAAACCCUAAACUGAACUUUUUCCUUCCAGUCAGCAUUAGGGUUUUAAACCCUAAACUGAACUUUUUCCCUUUAGUCAGCAUUUGGGUUUUAAACCCUAAACUGACUUUUUCCAUUCAGCCAGCAUUAGGGUUUUAAACCCUAAACU
rnacentral:lncRNA from 1 species